AGUGAACGCUGGCGGUAGGCCUAACACAUGCAAGUCGAACGGCAGCACAGUAAGAGCUUGCUCUUACGGGUGGCGAGUGGCGGACGGGUGAGGAAUACAUCGGAAUCUACUUUUUCGUGGGGGAUAACGUAGGGAAACUUACGCUAAUACCGCAUACGACCUACGGGUGAAAGCAGGGGAUCUUCGGACCUUGCGCGAUUGAAUGAGCCGAUGUCGGAUUAGCUAGUUGGCGGGGUAAAGGCCCACCAAGGCGACGAUCCGUAGCUGGUCUGAUAGGAUGAUCAGCCACACUGGAACGGAGACACGGUCCAGACUCCUACGGGAGGCAGCAGUGGGGAAUAUUGGACAAUGGGCGCAAGCCUGAUCCAGCCAUACCGCGUGGGUGAAGAAGGCCUUCGGGUUGUAAAGCCCUUUUGUUGGGAAAGAAAAGCAGCAGGUUAAUACCCCGCUGUUCUGACGGUACCCAAAGAAUAAGCACCGGCUAACUUCGUG
rnacentral:rRNA from 1 species